rnacentral:sRNA from 1 species
UAAAUUGCGGCAUUAGGCUCUGUCUGAUGCCACGCCUAACCGAGAGUCGGCAUUAAAUCUAUCACGACGCUUAAUUGGUCGUGGCUUAGCUUGUUGUCAGCCGUCGUGUUGUACUUAACAACGUGUUGUUCAGUUGUCAAGUCGACGGUAUUAUUGACGCAUGCCAAACUUAAUGGAGAGUGUGCAUGUGCCAUUAUUCUGCCGGUAGCCUGUUUACGUUAGUUACGUUUUCCCUAGCAUGGUUCGCUUGCAUUUAUAUGCAUACCGAUGGGGACGGUUAACUCGUCGUUGUCAGUGCGUGUUUACCGGUGGUGCUGUCGUGGCGUGGGAAUUUCAAUAAGCAUUUAUGAAUGGUAGUUGUUAAAUUGUCAUCUUAUAUGCUGUUCUCUUGAGCCUUUGGCCCACGGGUUAUGCAGUGGCCAGUGUUUCUUGAAUGCGUGCGCAUGCAUGCCAGGUCGCAGCCUAAUGUGAUCGCGACAAAGUGCUUUGCCUGUGUUCUGCGUUUAAAUUUUGUCACUGCCACUUGUAUAUGUGCGAGUAUGGCCCGAAAUGAGACUAUGUGCCCAUGUCCUGUUGUGCUGACAUUUCUACUCCACAGGUCGCGAGGUGCUUGUCGGUGUCACCAGUUUUCUGUGGAAAUACUGUUUUUUUGUACACCUGACCUCGGAUUAGGCGUGAUUACCCGCUGAACUUAAGCAUAUCAAUAAGCGGAGGAAAAGAAACUAACCAGGAU